rnacentral:ncRNA from 1 species
CACUUAUCAAGAAAGGCUGAGGGAAUGGCCCGAUGAAGCCCUGGCAACCAGUUUCGCAAUGAAGCAAUGGUGCCAAUUCCAACCUGCGCUGCAGGAGAGAUAAGUA